rnacentral:rRNA from 1 species
UACCUACGGGGGGCAGCAGUGGGGAAUUUUGGACAAUGGGCGCAAGCCUGAUCCAGCUAUUCCGCGUGUGGGAUGAAGGCCCUCGGGUUGUAAACCACUUUUGUAGAGAACGAAAAGACACCUUCGAAUAAAGGGUGUUGCUGACGGUACUCUAAGAAUAAGCACCGGCUAACUACGUGCCAGCAGCCGCGGUAAUACGUAGGGUGCGAGCGUUAAUCGGAAUUACUGGGCGUAAAGGGUGAGCAGGCGGAUGAGUAAAACAGAGUUUAAAACCC